rnacentral:pre_miRNA from 1 species
CUACUACUCCCUCCGUUCGGAAUUACUUGUCACAAAAAUGAAUGUAUCUACAACUAAAAUACAUCUAGAUACAUUCAUUUCUUGGACGAGUAAUUCCGAACGGAGGGAGUAGAUU